UACGUAGGGGGCAAGCGUUGUCCGGAAUCAUUGGGCGUAAAGCGCGUGUAGGCGGCUUGGUAAGUCUGCUCUGAAAGCCCGGGGGCUCAACCCCGGGAGGCGGGUGGAUACUGUCAAGCUCGAGUCCGGAAGAGGAGUGUGGAAUUCCUGGUGUAGCGGUGAAAUCGCAGAUAUCAGGAGGAACACCUGUGGUGUAAGACGGCUUUCUGGACCUAACUGACGCUUGAGGAGCGAAAAGCAUGGGGGAGCGAACAGGA
rnacentral:rRNA from 1 species